GAUGAACGCUGGCGGCGUGCCUAAUACAUGCAAGUCGUACGGAAAGGCCCUUCGGGGUACUCGAGUGGCGGACGGCUGAGUAACGCGUGGGAACGUGCCCCAAAGUGAGGGAUAACGCACCGAAAGGUGUGCUAAUACCGCAUAUGGUCUUCGGAUUAAAGCUUCGGCGCUUUGGGAGCGGCCCGCGUACGAUUAGAUAGUUGGUGAGGUAAUGGCUCACCAAGUCGACGAUCGUUAGCUGGUCUGAGAGGAUGAUCAGCCAGACUGGGACUGAGACACGGCCCAGACUCCUACGGGAGGCAGCAGUAAGGAAUCUUCCACAAUAGGGGCAACCCUGAUGGAGCAACGCCGCGUGCAGGAUGAAGGUUUUCGGAUCGUAAACUGCUUUUAUAAGUGAAGAAUAUGACGGUAACUUAUGAAUAAGGAUCGGCUAGCUACGUGCCAGCAGCCGCCGUAA
rnacentral:rRNA from 1 species